rnacentral:lncRNA from 1 species
AUGACGAUGCCUUCUUAGCUAAACAAAAACCUAAUCUCGUCACGGGUCCCAUUGGAGGUCAAAACGCUAACGAAAGUGGCUGUUUUGAUUGCAACAUCUGCCUAGACACAGCCCAUGAUCCGGUUGUCACACUAUGCGGACACCUUUUCUGCUGGCCUUGCAUUUACAAAUGGUUACACGUUCAGCUAUCAUCCGUCUCAAUCGAUCAGCACCACAACAACUGCCCUGUCUGCAAAUCCAACAUCGCCGUCACCUCACUGGUUCCUCUCUACGGAAGAGGCAUGUCUUCCGGGUUUGUCUCGAAGAAACAAGACGCAGUAAUACCACGGAGACCUGCUCCACCAAUCACUUCAGGAUCAUCUCUGAACCCAAGGUUGCAACAUCAUCGAACAAUGUCUCCAACGUUUCACAGCCGCAACCAAUACUCCCCUCGUGGCCUCACAACAACCGAAUCAACCGACCUUGCGAAUGCAGUCAUGAUGAGUUUCCUCUACCCGGUGAUUGGGAUGUUUGGGGACUUGGUCUACACCAGGAUAUUCGGAACCUUCACAAACACAAUAGCUCAGCCUUAUCAAAGCCAGAGGAUGAUGCAGCGUGAGAAAUCUCUUAACCGGGUAUCCAUAUUCUUCUUCUUCUGCAUCUUCCUUUGCCUCCUUCUCUUCUAGCUCUCUCUCUCUCUCUCUCUCUCAUUCUCCCUCCCACUUGUAUAGUUUUUGAAAUGUAUAUAGACUGUAAACGUUAUGGUAUAACAAGUACAGACAUUAUUGUUCCGAGUUAGGUCUCAAAUUGCAAGGCCAUUUGCUCUCUGUGUGUUGCAUAUCUAUAGACAUAUACGUGCUUGUAUCUUAACUUCAUGAACCAUAUAUAAACACUUCAUCGUCUAUUCUAUAAUUUGUUGUGUUGUCUGUCUUAUAUCAGAUAAAUUAUAUUUCGAAUAGAGUUUAAAUGUGAAGAGAAGAAGUGAGUUGUAUUGCAUUACGGCAUGAAACAUAUUACAUAGAUCGCCUCUGAGUUCCAGCGGCAAACGUAUUUAGCCUAUCUGCAUUGUCUUUGAGUCAGUUUAGAUGGCGAAACAAGUCUGCUAACAAGCCUACGUAGCCGGUUAGCUCCAGGACCAGGAUUGAUCUUUGAUGGAUCACCAACCUCUGAGCACUUCGGUUUGCCUGCACACCAACCACCAGGUGUAAAGCUCCCAUUACCUCUACCGAGCAGCUCAGUGUCAAUCUUGUCCAAGGCAAGAUCAUUGUGUAUGAACUUGCGGGCAAACACAGCUCCGCUUGCAAUCAUCUUCUCUGUAUCACUGAUGUUGAGCGUCUUAGGAUGCUGUUGUGGACCGCUAACGAAAGUGGCUGUUUUGAUUGCAACAUCUGCCUAGACACAGCCCAUGAUCCGGUUGUCACACUAUGCGGACACCUUUUCUGCUGGCCUUGCAUUUACAAAUGGUUACACGUUCAGCUAUCAUCCGUCUCAAUCGAUCAGCACCACAACAACUGCCCUGUCUGCAAAUCCAACAUCGCCGUCACCUCACUGGUUCCUCUCUACGGAAGAGGCAUGUCUUCCGGGUUUGUCUCGAAGAAACAAGACGCAGUAAUACCACGGAGAC